rnacentral:rRNA from 1 species
UACGAAGGGGGCUAGCGUUGCUCGGAAUCACUGGGCGUAAAGCGCACGUUAGGCGGACUCUUAAGUCGGUGGUGAAAUCCUGGAGCUCAACUCCAGAACUGCCUUCGAUACUGAGAGUCUCGAGUCCGGGAGAGGUGAGUGGAACUGCGAGUGUAGAGGUGAAAUUCGUAGAUAUUCGCAAGAACACCAGUGGCGAAGGCGGCUCACUGGCCCGGUACUGACGCUGAGGUGCGAAAGCGUGGGGAGCAAACAGG